rnacentral:rRNA from 1 species
AGCGAACGCUGGCGGCAGGCCUAACACAUGCAAGUCGAACGAACCCUUCGGGGUUAGUGGCGGACGGGUGAGUCACACGUGGGAACGUGCCUUUAGGUUCGGAAUAACUCAGGGAAACUCGUGCUAAUACCGAAUGUGCCCUUCGGGGGAAAGAUUUAUCGCCUUUAGAGCGGCCCGCGUCUGAUUAGCUAGUUGGUGAGGUAAAGGCUCACCAAGGCUACGAUCAGUAGCUGGUCUGAGAGGAUGACCAGCCACAUUGGGACUGAGACACGGCCCAAACUCCUACGGGAGGCAGCAGUGGGGAAUCUUGCGCAAUGGGCGAAAGCCUGACGCAGCCAUGCCGCGUGGAUGAUGAAGGUCUUAGGAUUGUAAAAUCCUUUCACCGGUGAAGAUAAUGACUGUAGCCGGAGAAGAAGCCCCGGCUAACUUCGUGCCAGCCGCCGCGGUAAGAC